AGAGUUUGAUCAUGGCUCAGGACGAACGCUGGCGGCGUGCUUAACACAUGCAAGUCGAGCGAACCUUCGGGUUAGCGGCGAACGGGUGAGUAACACGUGAGCAACCUGCCCUUGGCUCUGGGAUAGCCUCCGGAAACGGGGAUUAAUACCGGAUAGGACCUGGGUCCUCAUGGAUCCGGGUGGAAAGUUUUUCGGCCAGGGAGGGGCUCGCGGCCUAUCAGCUUGUUGGGGGGGUGACGGCCCACCAAGGCGACGACGGGUAGCCGGCCUGAGAGGGCGGCCGGCCACACUGGGACUGAGACACGGCCCAGACUCCUGCGGGAGGCAGCAGUGGGGAAUAUUGCGCAAUGGGGGGAACCCUGACGCAGCGACGCCGCGUGCGGGAUGAAGGCCUUCGGGUUGUAAACCGCUUUCAGCAGGGGCGAAUCAAGACGGUACCUGCAGAAGAAGCGCCGGCUAACUACGUGCCAGCAGCCGCGGUAAUACGUAGGGCGCGAGCGUUGUCCGGAAUUAUUGGGCGUAAAGAGCUCGUAGGCGGCUUGUCGCGUCUGCUGUGAAAUCCCGGGGCUUAACCCCGGGCGUGCAGUGGAUACGGGCAGGCUGGAGGCAGGCAGGGGAGAACGGAAUUCCCGGUGUAGCGGUGAAAUGCGCAGAUAUCGGGAGGAACACCGGUGGCGAAGGCGGUUCUCUGGGCCUGUUCUGACGCUGAGGAGCGAAAGCGUGGGGAGCGAACAGGAUUAGAUACCCCCGUAGUCC
rnacentral:rRNA from 1 species